rnacentral:rRNA from 1 species
GACGUAGGAGGCGAGCGUUGUCCGGAUUCAUUGGGCGUAAAGAGCACGCAGGCGGUUUGGCAAGUCGGAUGUGAAAUCCCGAAGCUCAACUUCGGGCGUGUAUCCGAAACUGCCCGACUAGAGGUAGGUAGGGGAGAUCGGAAUUCCUGGUGUAGCGGUGAAAUGCGCAGGUAUCAGGAGGAACACCGGUGGCGAAGGCGGAUCUCUGGGCCUUACCUGACGCUCAGGUGCGAAAGCUAGGGGAGCGAACAGG